GGGCCCAUAGUCUAGUGGUAGAACAGGGCGUUUGCAACGCCCAGGCCCGGGUUCGAUUCCCGGUGGGUCCA
rnacentral:tRNA from 2 species